rnacentral:rRNA from 1 species
AGAGUUUGAUCCUGGCUCAGAUUGAACGCUGGCGGCAGGCCUAACACAUGCAAGUCGAGCGGUAACAGGUCCAGCUUGCUGGAUGCUGACGAGCGGCGGACGGGUGAGUAACGCAUAGGAAUCUACCCGGUAGUGGGGGAUAACCUGGGGAAACCCAGGCUAAUACCGCAUACGUCCUACGGGAGAAAGGGGGCUUAGGCUCCCGCUAUUGGAUGAGCCUAUGCCGGAUUAGCUGGUUGGUGAGGUAAUGGCUCACCAAGGCGACGAUCCGUAGCUGGUCUGAGAGGAUGAUCAGCCACAUCGGGACUGAGACACGGCCCGAACUCCUACGGGAGGCAGCAGUGGGGAAUAUUGGACAAUGGGGGCAACCCUGAUCCAGCCAUGCCGCGUGUGUGAAGAAGGCCCUCGGGUUGUAAAGCACUUUCAGCGAGGAAGAACGCCUGUCGGUUAAUACCCGGCAGGAAAGACAUCACUCGCA